rnacentral:rRNA from 1 species
AGGGGGGGCAAGCGUUGUUCGGAAUUACUGGGCGUAAAGGGUUCGUAGGCGGUUGGGUAAGUCAGAUGUGAAAGCCCCCAGCUCAACUGGGGAACUGCGUCUGAUACUGCUUGGCUUGAGGCCGGGAGAGGGUGGUGGAAUUCCCAGUGUAGCGGUGAAAUGCGUAGAUAUUGGGAGGAACACCAGUGGCGAAUGUGGCUCACCUGGACCGGUCCUGACGCUGAGGCGCGAAAGCGUGGGGAGCAAACAGGAUUAGAUAUCCUGGUAGUCCACGCCCUAAACGAUGGGUACUCGGUGUCGCGGGUAUCAACCCCCGCGGUGCCUUAGCUAACGCGUUAAGUACCCCGCCUGGGGAGUACGGUCGCAAGGCUG